UGCACAUUUCAUAUAAACGGAAACAUACAACAUGUGGCCCUUUGUGACUAGCUUCUUCCACUUAGAUUGUCUUCCAGGUUCAUCCAUGUUGUAGCCCUUCAGAUCAGAGCGUCGUUCUGGUCACAGUAGGCAGAAUAAAGAGGCAGAAGGAAGAAUGAGAAAGAGAAUCCUGAGGGUCCGAGCACAGCAGCACAAUGAAAUGAAGUGCUACCUCUAAUAGCAAAGGAAGAAAAAGACCUACAUGUCCAGGGGAGGGGGCUGGAUAAAGUGUGACACAUCGAUGCGGUGGCUGCAGCUGUAAAACAGCCUGUCGGGAAGUCAGGUGCAUCCAGUGAAGAAAAGCCAUGUGCAGUGUCGAUCACCCUAAUGAAGUUGCUAUCACCAUUCACACAGUCGUCCCAGGUAGUCCUGGGACCCGAGAAAUAGCCCACCUCUCCAUUCCCAUCACCCGACUCGUUCCAGCUGCCACUGUCUGGGGGACAACAGAAGAGCAACCUGAUCUUUGUUAAUCUGGUUAAGAAGGUGAG